rnacentral:rRNA from 1 species
GUGGGGAAUAUUGGACAAUGGGCGCAAGCCUGAUCCAGCAAUGCCGCGUGCAGGAAGAAGGCCUUCGGGUUGUAAACUGCUUUUGUACGGAACGAAACGGUCCGGGUUAAUACCCUGGGCUAAUGACGGUACCGUAAGAAUAAGCACCGGCUAACUACGUGCCAGCAGCCGCGGUAAUACGUAGGGUGCAAGCGUUAAUCGGAAUUACUGGGCGUAAAGCGUGCGCAGGCGGUUUUGUAAGACAGGCGUGAAAUCCCCGGGCUCAAACUGGGAAUUGCGCUUGUGACUGCAAGGCUGGAGUGCGGCAGAGGGGGAUGGAAUUCCGCGUGUAGCAGUGAAAUGCGUAGAUAUGCGGAGGAACACCGAUGGCGAAGGCAAUCCCCUGGGCCUGCACUGACGCUCAUGCACGAAAGCGUGGGGAGCAAACAGGAUUAGAUACCCUAGUAGUCC